UAAUACAGAGGUCCCGAGCGUUGUUCGGAUUCAUUGGGCGUAAAGGGUGCGUAGGCGGCGGGGAAAGUCUGAUGUGAAAUCCUGGGGCUCAACCCUGGAACUGCAUUGGAUACUUCCUUGCUAGAGUACUGGAGAGGAAACUGGAAUUUACGGUGUAGCAGUGAAAUGCGUAGAGAUCGUAAGGAAGACCAGUGGCGAAGGCGAGUUUCUGGACAGUUACUGACGCUGAGGCACGAAGGCCAGGGGAGCAAACGGGAUUAGAUACCCCGGUAGUCCUGGCAGUAAACGGUGCAUGUUUGGUGUGGGAGGAAUCGACCCCUUCCGUGCCGGAGCUAACGCGUUAAACAUGCCGCCUGGGGAGUACGGUCGCAAGAUUA
rnacentral:rRNA from 1 species